rnacentral:lncRNA from 1 species
GGAGAUUUCUGGAGUCAGUGUGCUUAAGGGCAUUCUUAAAAUGACAGUGAGGCUGAGCUCCUUAGGAACAUCAUGCUCAAGGUUUGAUGAGCUCUAAGUUUGAGCUUAUGGCAAUAACAAUAUCUUGGCUCAUGUCCUUAGAAAUUGUAUCUGAGUGGGAACAGCUUCUCCAGACUCUCUGGUAAAAUGUCUUGGAUGGAAAACAACCACAGCAAAUACCAUUCAUAUUUGCUGGAUUGAUUUCCAUUCUGGACAGGGAAUGGAUAAGUGAACACUAGCAAUUGCUGCCCCGUUUCUCUUUUUGUUGGAGUUUUCUGACAUUCCUAUCAAAGAUACACAUCUGCAGGGCUGGAUUUAGGUUUGGUGAGGCCCUAAGCUACUGAAGGUAAUGGGGCCCUUUAUAUGUCCAGCUGUCCUUUCUCAACAACACAUUGCUGCUGUUUUUUGUGUUGAAUAUAUGCUAUAUGGUAAUUUAUGGACCUAAAAGCCCCCCAUCCAAACAAUGACUAUCAUCACUGCAGGCCAGAACAGAACAGAACAGAACUGAAGGGUUCAGCCGACCUGCUUAUAUAUAGCUCCACUACAAAGCAACAGUAGCAACUUUCUGUAACUAUCCAAUCACUGAUCGUCACUUUCAAUUCCGUAUUUGCAUAUGUGGACCUGAGUGAAAACUAUCUACAAUAUCCCCCUGCUGGCCCAGGGUGAGAACUUCAGUACAUAACAAUUGUUAUUUUAUAAAUUUUCAAUUAACAAUUUCAACAUAACAAAUUAUCAAAACAAGUAAUCUUCAUUAUUUCCCCCCUUUCCCCAUCCCCAAAGAACCCCCUCCCUCCCCCAAGAUUUCCCUCAGCUCCUCUCUCUGAUUUCUCAACUCAUGUUGUUCUCUGCAUACUGUAAAAUUGUAUACAUCCUUUUAUUAUCUAUCUCCUAUAUUAACCCUCAAUAAAUUUGUGUAUGUUUAUUCAAAACCUGCCAAGGAGUCCAGUUCUUUUUGUUGUCUUUUUAGAUAAUUUGUAAAAAGUUCCCAUUCUUCUUUGAAGUCACAGUUGUCAUAAUAAUAAUAAUAAUAAUAAUAAUAAUAAUAAUAUUCUG